CGGCAUGCUUAACACAUGCAAGUCGAACGGUAACAGGUCUAGCUUGCUAGAUGCUGACGAGUGGCGGACGGGUGAGUAACGCGUGGGAAUCUGCCUUCUAGUGGGGGAUAGCCCGGAGAAUCCGGAUUAAUACCGCAUACGCCCUACGGGGGAAAGCCGGGGAUCUUCGGACCUGGCGCUAGUAGAUGAGCCCGCGUGAGAUUAGCUUGUUGGUGGGGUAAUGGCCUACCAAGGCAACGAUCUCUAGCUGGUCUGAGAGGACGAUCAGCCACACUGGGACUGAGACACGGCCCAGACUCCUACGGGAGGCAGCAGUGGGGAAUAUUGGACAAUGGGCGAAAGCCUGAUCCAGCAAUGCCGCGUGUGUGAAGAAGGCCUGAGGGUUGUAAAGCACUUUCAAUCGUGAAGAAAAGUUGCAGGCUAACUACCCUGUGACCUUGACGUUAACGAUACAAGAAGCACCGGCUAACUCCGUG
rnacentral:rRNA from 1 species